rnacentral:rRNA from 1 species
UACGUAGGGUGCAAGCGUUGUCCGGAAUUAUUGGGCGUAAAGAGCUCGUAGGCGGUUUGUCGCGUCUGCUGUGAAAACUCGGGGCUCAACUCCGAGCUUGCAGUGGGUACGGGCAGACUAGAGUGCGGUAGGGGAGACUGGAAUUCCUGGUGUAGCGGUGAAAUGCGCAGAUAUCAGGAGGAACACCGGUGGCGAAGGCGGAUCUCUGGGCCUGUUCUGACGCUGAGGCGCGAAAGCUAGGGGAGCGAACAGG